rnacentral:rRNA from 1 species
AUUGAACGCUGGCGGCAGGCCUAACACAUGCAAGUCGAGCGAGCGGCGGACGGGUGAGUAAUGUAUGGGGAACUGCCCGAUAGAGGGGGAUAACUACUGGAAACGGUGGCUAAUACCGCAUACGAUCGGAUGAACCCAGAUGGGAUUAGCUAGUUGGUGGGGUAAAGGCUCACCAAGGCGACGAUCGCUAGCUGGUCUGAGAGGAUGACCAGCCACACUGGAACUGAGACACGGUCCAGACUCCUACGGGAGGCAGCAGUGGGGAAUAUUGCACAAUGGGCGCAAGCCUGAUGCAGCCAUGCCGCGUGUAUGAAGAAGGCCUUAGGGUUGUAAAGUACUUUCAGCGGGGAGGCGUUACCCGCAGAAGAAGCACCGGCUAACUCCGUGCCAGCAGCCGCGGUAAUAC